rnacentral:lncRNA from 1 species
CUGGAAUGCAGCCAGCCGGGAUCCCAGUUGUGCGCGGAGCUUCCCCAGGGCUUUGUUUCUCCGUGUAAAAGAACUAUUCAUUGUGGGGUCUUUUUUGAAAUUGAAAAUUUAUUACAUGGGAAACCUAAUACAUAAUCUUUGUAGAAAACUUGAAAAUUAGGAAGCACUAUAAGCAAAAACACUAACAAACAAAGGCUCCUCCAAUCCCAAGGCCCAGCGAGAGCACAGUUAACGUGUGGGUGCCUUUCUUCCUUUCCUUUCCCUCUCUCCCGACGUCUUCAUCUCUAUCUGUCUAUCCUGGGUUUUCUCUUCGUGCUCCUCACCCACAAACGCAGGAUCCCGGCCUUUUGGACAUCUCACAUAUGAUUAGGAACAAGUACUUUCCAAAGCCGGCCUGACCUGAGCCCGUUUCUCCCUCUCUCUCCCACCCCUUCAGGCCCUUCUUGGCAUCCGCCUGGCCCUUCUCUGGCUUCCACUGGUACCACCCCAGACUGCUGGGCACCACCAUCUCUUGGCAUCUCUGUUGCCCUCGAGGUUCCAAGGAGGGUUGGUGUUCCCUUGUGGAAUGUGGAGAGAACAGCCACCAGGACUUAUUUGGAUCUCAGUCAGCUGGAGGUCGGAUGAUCUAGGAUGACCUCACUCCCACGUCUGGAGGGGGGCAAGUUGUCAGUCAGAAAAAAAUAUAACCAGCAUACCGACUUCAAUAUUUUACAGAUGUGACUGCUGAGGACAAGUCUAAAAUUUUUUAAGUGAGUGAAAGUUAAAGAAAAAAACCUAAGUAAUGAAACAGAACAGAUGGCCCACAGAUACGAUAAAAAUUAACAAGCCAUAUUAGGAAUAUCUGAAAUUUGGGAAAUGCCCAGACAAUGUAUGCGAAAGUGCUCUUAAACCAUACAGCUCUUUACAAACAUGAGCAAUUAUUACUAAAAAAUGUACUCUUUUCCCUGAAGAUUGUGGUGAGUUCAAGGGCAAAUGGAGCGGGAAUCUUUAAGCCCCCCAUUAACUCCAUCAGUCCCCCAUUCUUUGAUGCGGGCAAUGGAUGUUUUCUCGGUUUUAUUUAAAGCGUUACGUGAUGCAAACAGUGUCAAGUCCCCCCUACCUCCUUCCAACCAGAUUUACUGCCUUGAAGCCCCUUCGCUCUCAGAAACUCUGAAGCCACCUCUGUGUGUGAGUCAAUAUCUGGAGGUUUACUUUCUCCACCUGGCCUCAAGACCAGGGGUCAAGGGAUUUUUCAAGUUGCAGACCGGAAGGAGAGUGUGAGAGCGUGGAUGUGUAGAGUGGCAUGGAAGAGCUAUGUGUGAGGCUGAGAAAUCAAGAAAGCCACACCAACCUG